rnacentral:rRNA from 1 species
AUGUCCAUAAGAGGAUAUUUCCUUGUGCUUUGCCGUUCGUCGGAGAUCAGGAGCAGGUUGCUCAGGCGCGGACGGGCCGACACGCACCAGUUUGAUCUCAUGCUCGCGCCUUGGUCUCGCCACUCGCACACCACGGCCAUCACCAUGCCGUUCCUGGUGCCGCUGGUGCUGCGUGGCAUUCCAGCAAACGCGUGGACGCGGCGCACGGCGGAGGUUCUUCUGCAUGGCCUGGGGAUUGUGGUCAAGUUCGGUGCGUCUACCGCGGAGCGUAGCGACAUGGCUGGGUUCUUGGUUUGGUUGCGCACGGACGACCCAACUUGCAUCCCCUCUAGGCGGAUCUUCACCGUGGAGGAGGCCGAACAGGAGAAGUCAAGAUGCUGUGCAGGUGGAUGGAUGAUCUGA